AGUGCUAUUGCACUUUAAAGUGUCAAAACAGCACCUCUCGAUUUUGUAAACAUGUUUCCACAGGGAGUAUUUGUGUCGGUCAAGAUUAACCCACAUACAUUGAUUUAGUAAACAAAAACACUCGUUAGAGUACAUCAGUUGAACAGUCAUCUCCAGGAUAUACUCUGAAGACAGUGAUGUGAAAGUUCAAGGUUUGCCUCAGAUCCUUUAAUAAUAAAGAAUGGGUGGAAAAAUUCUCACAUCAUGCUGCAUAACAGUACAUUUCAGCUGUAACAAAACAUUUUAUCUGAUGAAAGCUUCAACCAGGAGAAUAGGAAAGGAUGUCAAGGCCAAAGAGAAGGCCAUAUAACAAAUAGUUGCUGAAUUCAUGAAGACUGGGAUGAUACAGUACUUUUCUACUCUUAUGUACCAUAUCUAAACAUCAUUUGAGGAUCCCUUUCUAAGAAAAGAAGAAUUUGCAUAUUCAAAGACUCUUUAGUUUAUUGUUUGUAUUUUGUUUAACGUUCUUCUUGAGAAUUUUUCACUCAUAUGGGGAUGCCAACAUUUGCCGAUGGAGAGUUGCAAAUUUUGUCCUUUACUUGGCACACAUGGCUAAUUGAGCAAUGAGGGAUCUUUUUGGUGCUAGCAUCUACUGCAACACAGGACCUCUGUAUAUGCAGUCUUAACUCUAUGUCCGACAGUGGGAUUUCGAACCAGCAAUUUAAUGAUCAACUCCUUACUCAUGACUCUCGAGCAGAUGCUCUUGCCACUGCACCACGCAGGCGACUUCAUAGGUUGUAAAAUAAUAAGAUAGGAUUUAUAACUUAAAACUGGUGUUUUUAAUAAAUUCAGUCACAGUAUAGAAAAUGUUUGGAAUAAAGGGAGGUAAUAGCUAGCUCUCACUGGUAUUGAUGCUUAGACUAUAUGAAUUACAUAUUUUAAUUACACAUGUAUUUUAUAUCAGAUCAGUAAAGAAAGAAACACUUAAUUAUUUUUAUUAUGAAUUUUAUUAUAAGAUUGAUUAUCUUUAAAAAAUGGAACUUAAAUCUUUUUGAGUAGGAAGAAAAAAAAAUAAACAGAAUGUACAUGUGCACUUAGUUUUGUUUAUUAAAAAAUAUUCAACAUCUGGAGAUCUUGUGAAGUACCGUAUAUCUAAAUAUUGUUUUAUAAAUUUUCACUUCAUUUUUAAACAGCAUAGUCUUUAUUAUAACAUACGCCCUGUAAUAUACAAUUUAUUUGUUGUUGAAUAUUCCAUUGUCUGUCUACAUGUAGUGCUUAGUAAAUUUCUUGUAAAUACAAACAUGAUUGCAA